UUAAAAACUCUGGGUAAAGGUGAGGUUGAAGAAUCCUCAUUUAGACCACCUCCAAGCUCUGUUUCUGGCUUCAUUUGCCAAUACCUAAGGUACUUACAAAAUGUAACUAAUUAGAAGAAAACCAUAAAAAAUGAUGGUUAUAAGUUAUAACCCUGAAGGCUAGUGGUAUGUAACAUAAACUAAUAAUAAAACUGCAUCCCCUAGUUGCAAAACUGGUAUAUACCAUUGUUAAUAAGAAGACACAAACUAAUAAUAAGAAAGCAUGAACUAAAUCAGCUCAAACUAGUUCUACCUUCACCACUUAAGAGGACAAUCCCAAUGGCCAUCAGCAGAGGAUGAAGAGUUUGCAGUUAAAAUACACAAGAAAAAUGAGGCAAACAAUUUCACUCCACAUAUUUACGAACAAUGGAAAAUCUAAAUCAUCCAAUACAAUGUUAUCAAACAAGAGAGGUUCCCAUCAACUUCAAAGUAAGGACCCUUCCAGUAUUCAAAUAACUACUACAAAAAGAGGUUGCAUGGGGCACAAGUAAAUCAAUUAGAGCAAUGAAGCAUGAAAUUGUACACUCACACACAUUUAGAUCGAGAGUACCAUGUCUACACUGACUGAUUUUCCAUCCUGAGCCAAAAUCUUAGUGCAAUCUUACAAAACAAAAAGUUAGAGGAAUUAGCAAUGAGGAUGAAGAAGAAACAUUAUUCAAAUCAAACAAAUUCAGCAGUUAAAUUCACAACAAUCAAUAGUAAGAAGAAACAAUAAGAAGCAGAGUGGGCGCAGAAAUAGGAAUUGAAAGGGGAAUUAGGGUUUGAUGGAACACUCAAUCGUGCUCGUAUAGUGGAAUCGAGAAACGGCGAGUUCCUUCGAUCUGUGGGGCCUAGAUCACCGCUGCGACAUAGGUUUCUAGUGGGCAACGAGGCAUGUUCAUCGGGGAAGGGAACAGUGUGGCCGCAGCCGCCACAAACGCCGUCGCCGCAACCGUCGAUAGCAGAGGGAAAUAGGGGUUCGGAGGAAGAAGAGUGAGGGCAAAGAGAAGGGAAGAGAGAGCGAGGGUGAGAAAUAUUGGAGGGAAACUGGUUCGCAAGAGUGAGAAAGAGGAAUGCUUCGUGGCACUGUAAGCCUUUUUUG
rnacentral:lncRNA from 1 species